rnacentral:rRNA from 1 species
UACAGAGACCUCAAGCGUUAUCCGGAAUCAUUGGGCGUAAAGCGUACCGAUAGGUGGUUAUACAAGUCAGAAGUGAAAUCUCCGAGCUCAACUCGGAAUCUGUCUUUUGAAACUGUAUGACUAGAGGGGCAAAGAGGAAGCUGGAACGAACGGUGUAGUAGUGAAAUGCGUUGAUAUCGUUCGGAACACCAAUAGCGUAGGCAGGCUUCUGGGUGCCACCUGACACUGCUAGGACGAAAGCGUGGGGAGCGAAUGGG